GUGUGGCCGCUCGUCAGCGGGUCCGGACCUGGCGCGGCCCCUCAGGGGGCCGCGACGAGAGGCCAUUGUGGCUAGGGAGGCCUGGGGAGGCGGAGGAGUGAGGCAGCUACCGCGUCGGGAUCCAAGCGCCGAGCCUCAGGAGCAGACGAUCUUGAAAACUGUGCCAGGUCCUUGGGGAAAAUUACAUGACUCUGCAACAUGAGUGACAGUAAAUGUGAUAGUCAUUUUUACAGUGUUCAAGUCGCAGAUUCCACAUUCACUGUACUAAAACGGUAUCAACAAUUGAAGCCCAUAGGAUCUGGGGCUCAGGGCAUUGUUUGUGCUGCAUUUGAUACAGUCCUUGGGAUAAAUGUUGCAGUAAAGAAGCUGAGUCGUCCUUUUCAGAACCAAACUCAUGCAAAAAGAGCUUACAGAGAGCUAGUUCUUUUAAAAUGUGUCAAUCACAAAAACAUAAUUAGUUUGUUAAAUGUAUUCACACCACAGAAGUCACUGGAAGAAUUUCAAGAUGUGUAUUUGGUUAUGGAACUGAUGGAUGCUAACUUGUGCCAGGUUAUUCAUAUGGAGUUGGAUCAUGAAAGAAUGUCCUAUCUUCUCUACCAGAUGUUGUGUGGUAUCAAACAUCUCCAUUCAGCUGGUAUCAUCCACAGAGAUUUGAAACCCAGCAAUAUAGUAGUAAAAUCAGAUUGUACACUCAAAAUCCUUGAUUUUGGACUGGCAAGAACAGCAUGUACUAAUUUUAUGAUGACACCGUACGUAGUAACACGGUAUUACAGAGCACCGGAGGUUAUCCUAGGCAUGGGAUACAAAGAGAAUGUUGAUAUCUGGUCAGUUGGGUGCAUCAUGGGAGAAUUGGUGAAAGGUUGUGUGAUAUUCCAAGGCACUGAUCAUAUUGAUCAAUGGAAUAAAGUUAUUGAACAAUUAGGAACACCAUCAGCAGAUUUUAUGAAGAAACUACAGCCUACUGUGAGGAAUUAUGUAGAAAAUAGACCGAAAUAUCCGGGUAUCAAAUUUGAAGAGCUCUUCCCAGAUUGGAUAUUUCCAUCGGAAUCUGAUCGUGACAAAUUAAAAACAAGUCAAGCUAGAGAUUUAUUAUCAAAAAUGCUGGUGGUAGACCCAGACAAACGAAUUUCUGUAGAUGAAGCCUUACGUCAUCCAUAUAUCACGGUCUGGUAUGAUCCAGCUGAAGCAGAAGCACCUCCUCCUAAAAUCUAUGAUGCACAACUGGAAGAAAGAGAACAUGCCAUUGAAGAAUGGAAAGAAUUAAUAUACAAAGAAGUAAUGGAUUGGGAAGAAAGAAGCAAGAACGGUGUGGUAAAAGAUCAGCCCUCAGAUGCAGCAGUGAAUAGCAGCACCAGUCCUUCCCAGUCAUCAUCUAUCAAUGACAUUUCAUCCAUGUCAACUGAGCAAACAUUGGCUUCAGAUACAGACAGCAGCCUUGAUGCCUUGACAGGACCCCUUGAAGGAUGCCGAUGAUCAACCAGGAUUGCAGACUUAACACUGGGAAAAAAACGCGUUUCCAUUGGCCUGAAUUGCUUAUACAACUCAGCUGGAGUACAGCAAGAAAAUGGAUAAGGAUUUUAUUUUAUUGAAUGACUCUGAACGCAACAGUUAUUUGUACUACACUAACUGUCACAAAAAGGAGAGCUGAAUGACCUGUGUACACUAGGAUUACCAGGCAAAUGAGGUUAGCUCUUUAGAGAGAGAGCGCAUGCUUGAGCAAAAUUAAUGAUAGGGGAGAGUUGGCUCUAUUCAGGGAUAAGUGUCAAGUUUGUGUCCUUUCCUAUGGCAUCUUGCAUUAGAGUCUGCGGGAGACUAGAGAGCACAAUGGGCAGGAAGGAAAAAAGUGGCACCGUGCUUUGCGUGGUGUUUGCAAUUAUUUUAUGAAGAGUGGAACACACUGAGCAGGUUUUGGAUUAAAAGCACACAACCACAUCCAUGGAAAGGGCAUGCUUGGGUGCACCUGCACGCAAACUGAAUUCUCUUUCCAAAGAAACUUAAUAUUAACUCUUCACGAAAUAUAAGGGUCUGUCUUCACUGCAGAGUAACCCAGGCUCUUACAUGGAUAUUGCUCCUCACCUGGCUAUUGCCCAAACACUCAAGUCUCUCAAGAGUUUAGUGGUACUUUCAUGUCAGGCUAGCUGGCCCAGCUACUGGUAUAGGCUAGAGUUCAGAUGCCACUUUCACUCGGGAGAGUAACUCACUCACUUUUCAAUAAGGAUGCUGGCUAACUGAGUGCUGAUAGCUCUCCAGUGCCUUCCUACAGUUCCCGUCAUGUGUCCAGAAGGGCGGACAUGUUCUGAGAAAGAAUCACAGAGCAGCUCAGCUUACUGUAGCCCAAAUUACCAUGGGAUGUGCCCCCAGUAGUCCUAGCAUCACAGGUGAGUGUCACAUCAGUCACGACACAGUAACUCAGGUAGGACUUGGCCAGCCUGAGUGCUGAUUGCCUGAGUUAGCUCUGUAGUGAAGACACAAUGGGUUUGACUCUAUGCUCAGUUACACUGGUGUAAAUCAGGAAUAACUCCCCAUUGAAGUCAACUGCGUGAAGCCAGAGUGAGAGCACAUUCACAUGAACUAAUUAUACUGAAUCUUUCAAUUUCUUUUUGUAUUGUGGCAAAGUACCUUGUUCUCCUCAUCAGACUCAGUCCUUUUUAGCCUUGGACACACCGGCUUGGGCAAGGCAAAUCCUUACAGGUAGCACAGGGUCUGGUUAUUCCUUUCCCUGAUCAGUCCCCUGUACUUGCUUUCCUUCCCUUCUGGGGAGGGAGUGCAGCCUUCCUUCUGGAAGGGGUCUGUGUCUUGCUGCCCUUAACCUACUGGUAGCUUCUCUCAUCCUCUCCCCUUCCCUGCACCCAAAGGGUUUAAAAAGGUCUCCAGCAGUUGGAGUCAGCUGAACCUAAUUAGCUCCCUAGCAACCCCUUUUUCAGCUGAACUUUAUUUCCCCCAGUGCUCCUCUGAGAACAGGGAGAGGCCUUUUAAUCCCCUGGGACUAAUUACUAUGCCUUCCUUUUUUGUAGCUGUUUGUCCUGGGUUUACCACAGUAUGAAGAAAAGGCAAGAACUAAUGACAAUGUUGUUUUGGAGCCAGAUUUUCAAAAGAGCCCGCUCCAUUGGCUGCUGCACUCUUCUGAAAUGCUGGCCAGAGGGGUUGGGAUGGGAGUGACUAUGGGCCAAGCACUCCUUGACAAUCUGGCCCUUUUAUUUAAGUGGCUAUAUGGGCAUCGUGGUCUUUUGAAAAUCUAGUUCCAGCUCUGGUGCUCAGCACUUGGCAGUCUGGCCCCCAAGGUAGAACCAUACUGCCCUCUGUGAUCACUGGGUCUCCGCUUAGAUUAGUCAAGUGAGCAUUUUCUUGGGAUUGGAGCAUGGAACCCAGCAUCAGAGUUCCUGAUUCUGUACCCAGUUCUGUCCCUUAUUUGCUGUGUGACCUUGGGGCAGAUCACUCAGGGCUAAAUUAUGGCAGGUGCCCUAGAGCAAAGAGAGUGUCAGAAGGUUCUUUCUCUCCAGUGCCUCCCAAGUGCCUCAUAAUUUGGAUUUCUAAGGCUGAAGAGCGCCACGGAGGAGCUUGACUGUAAGUGGGUAGUACAGUGACUGGGUAAUGACCCUAACUCAGUAUGCAGCAUCAAGGACUAACUUGGAAGGGCAUAGUGGGGAGCAGAUGACCUUUGACUGCUGCUCUGUGUGCUCUCCAGGUACCUCUGGGAGCACAAAUUCCUCCACAGUCAUGAUGCUGCCCUCUGUUACCACUAGGGCACAGGAAGUCCUCCUCCAAACAUGGCAUUCACAGCCCCAGUGUAGCCCUUCACCCCUCGGCCUCACUGGAACAUUAGUGCAAUACCUACAUCACAGGGAGCGUUGUGAGGUUUAUUAAUCUGUCUAAAUUCCCUUUCGCUAUCCACCAGGUGCCUAUUAAAUUAAGUCACUAACAUAUCAAUAUUGCCAGCCAUGAGUUUUGUUUCUUUGCACAAUUCUAAUAAGCAGGUGUAGGUAUCUGCUUCUCCUGUGGCUGGAUCCAGCGAGCAUGGGAGCUGCCUGUUGCUCUGAAAUACUAGAGCCCAGCCUCUGAAGUGGUAACAUAAUCCCACCAUUCCAACGAAGGCGGAGUCUUUAAAAAAGGUUAAUCCACAACAGAUGGUGUGAAGCAACACAAAGCGCUGCUAAUGACUAUUGUGAUGGGACUGAAGCUGUGAAGGUGGAUGGUGCCAAGAAUCAGCCAGCUGCGUGUGGCCAAUGCCCUGGGACCGUGCCAAGAGGGAUGUGUCAGGGAUUUGAGUCACAAAUGCAGGGUUCCCAGGGCACCCAGUGGUGCUCACCAAAAACAAUUCUCUUUAAAGCUACAUUUUGGUUUUUGUAGUGAUUUGACACACCAACUGGUGGAAGCAGACAAAUGAGCAGCUGUUUUCAAUGGGCAAGCCCAUGAAAGGAGAACGUUUCCAAAAAUAUUAAAAGAAAACUGCUACAGGUGGUGGCACAAAAACCAUCCCAACCUUGCCCUAGCUUUGGCUUCCCUGCUCAAUAGCCAGGGGAAAGUUGGGUGAGGACCAGACAUGGACUCACAUAAGGGAUCUUUAGUGAUUGGCUUGGCCUUACCUAGAUUAAAUGAAUGAAGAGAAUUCUGUUUAGAAAUGGGGACUGAACCAGAACCUUGGAUCUGAACAGCAUCAAGUGUCCAAAGGGGCAGAACUGUGGAUCACAACUUGGGCCCAGCUCUAAUUAAAAUUCAUUCUUCACUCUCCUGCUACUGCAUUUGGAAGAUGGCUUUUUAUGAAGGUCUCCUCCCCACAUGUGCAAACGACUGGAGACUUGGAAGGAGAUUUCAGAUAUCCUAGGUUGAGAAGAGGGUAAAACCUCAGCACAGUGUGCAGUCAGACAUAUAAAUAUAUAGAGGCCACCUCUGAGCUUGUAACCCUUGAGAUACCACCCAUGUACUCUCUAUCCUAUUGUUGAUGGUAAUGAUUUAUAUAGACCAGCAUUUCCUAUUUCACAUUGAUUUGGAGUCCCCUUUAACUCCUUGUUUGUUUGUUGGUUUGUUUGUUUGUUUGCGGGGUUUUUUUUUUUUUUUUUUUUUUACAAACUCUUCUCUUCCAUCCCUCACAGUCUUGCUAGGCAUUUAUUGACCCACAUGACUUUCUAGUUCUUCUAAAUUUAGGCCAUGUGUAUGCUGGGGAAUUUGCCUCAAUUUAUGACCCUGGUGGCCAUAGUCACAGCUGCA